UAGUUGAUCAUAGAACUAUGAGUUGGUGAAUAAUCGACUUAUCAAAAAAUUGAUAAUCUAUUUAUCAUGUGAAGAAAUCAACAACGGCAUCAAUAUAUAAUAAAUAAUUUGCAUAGUCUAGUAUUUCUUCAAUCUUUUCUUAAUUCGUAAAUUUUAACAAACUCCAACUACUCAUUGUUUAAAAUUACAACUCUUUCAGGCCUUACAAUGAUAGAGUCUAUACUAAACCUUAAUAAUCAAUUAUAGAACACAUAAACAUUCUUUAGACCUUUUCUAAUGGUCACUUUUUUUGUAGCCUUACUAUAUAAAUGAGAGAGAUCUUAUUGAUUUCCUCCAUGUUCAUUUGUUCAUCUCUUUCUCAUUUUGAUUCAACAAUAAUAAUGUCUCCGGUUCUCAUUUAGAACACUCCUUAGCUUGCUCUAAAACUUUAAUCCGUUGCAUUAUUUCGGUGGUCGUUGGAAAAGUAAUAUCAAGUAUGUAUGGAAAUUAGGUAAGAAGAAGACGACUACAUUACCACUACUAGAAAUUACCCCUAUUGCAAUGAACCUUUUGGCAACGAUUUCAAAAGUAUUGUGAUAGAUGGUCUUUUGCAACGGUUGGAACCAUUGCAAAAAAAUUGUUCUAGUAGUAUGAUAACCAUUGCGAUUGGUGGAUUACCGUUGCAACAGGGUAUGUUAUAGCAAUGACUUCUUUAACCAUUUCUAUAAAGUUACCUAUGGCAACACGUUUUUGGAAAAAAAUCCUAUUGCAUCAGUUUUCAUUUUUUCCUCCCUAUUUUUUCACAAAUUCUACCAAAAGUUUAAAAAAUAUAUAACAAAAAUUUAAAAAAAUAUAUAAAAAAUAACAUUUCAGUAGGCUCUCAUCAACUCACUCUCAUUCAGUCAAUAACACACCAGUGCAUCGCCAACUGCCUAGCCGGUUUGACUACCCAGCUGCUCCGACCACCAAUCUAAUUUACAAUAGCCCGAUAGAAAAUUAGCAGAGCAGACAUAAAAUUAGGAUUAUAAUGGAUAGUGAGGAUAAAAAUUGGAUGAAUUAUUUAAUAUGGUCUGAUGAGUUCCAGCAUGAAGUGAAAAACUUUUUUGAGAAGGUAUUUGAACGAGCUUCUCCAGAAAAUGAGAUAUUAUGUGCUUGUAAAGACUUCAAGAAUCAUUAUUGGCAUUAUAGAGAAAUAGUGAAGGAUCACUUGCUUUCUAGAGGGUUUCGUGCUUGUUACACCAAAUGGACUUUCCAUGGAGAAAGCGCUUCCUCGAGAAAGACACAUCAUCCAAUCAAUGAUGAUGAAGGUUCAAAUAUGCGGGAUGAUAUUUAUGGACUACUUCAUGAUACAUUUAGAAAUGUAGAGGCUAAAUUGGGGCAUGAAGAAGGGGAUGAAGAGGGAUUACCUGAAGAUGCAAAGAAAUUUUUUAAAUUAUUGGAGGAUGGAAAGAAAUAAUUAUAAUCAGGGUGUGAAAAAUUUAGUAAAUUGAGCUUCACCAUUCGAUUGUUCUUUUUUAAAUCUUUGCAUGGGUUGAGUAAUGUAGCAUUUUAAGAUUUGUUAGUGUUGAUAAAAGAGGCAUUUCCCUUUGCUCAGAUACCGGAGUCUUUCAAUAAUGCUAGAAAUAUGAUAAGAGAUUUGGGUC